GGGGCCUUAGCUCAGCUGGGAGAGCGCCUGCCUUGCACGCAGGAGGUCAGCGGUUCGAUCCCGUCAUCCCCCACCA
rnacentral:tRNA from 1 species